rnacentral:lncRNA from 1 species
GGAUACGAUGGGAAAAGGAUAAGCUUGUUCUCAGAGUUGAUCUGAUCCGCCGUUGGGAGUGAUCCGGAAGAGGCCAACGCGGAGGCCAUGCACACGUGAGCUUUGUCCGUGGAAGAAGAAGUUUAUCCGGAAGAGGAUGAGAGUUGGGAAUCUAGUUGGGAUAAGCUGGGAUGGAAUCGGUUCGUGGGAGAACAACGGGCGGAUGGGAGCGGAAUGGCUGGGAGGAAUCCGUCGCGAUGGAAUGGAUCUUGGCUUUGGGAUAAGGAUGAAGUCGGAUCAUGGAGGAGAUGGGAUCUUGAUACUCGGUUCCGAACAGAGGAAGAUGAUCUAGUAUUUGUUCCACGCGCUGAGAAGGGGACCAGGGGAUUCGGUUGAGCCAGGAGAAUGAGGAAACUUUCUACGUG